CCGUGAGGGAAGUAUGGGGUAGUACGAGAGGAACUCCCAUGCCGUGCCUCUGGUUUCUGGAGUUUGUCGAAGGGCAAGUGCUCCGACGCUAUCGCACGGUGGUUCUCGGCUGAACGCCUCUAAGCCAGAAACCAGUCCCAAGACCGG
rfam:Trypanosoma congolense IL3000, WGS project CAEQ01000000 data, contig: 1433